rnacentral:lncRNA from 1 species
UCUUCUUUGAUAUCUUCUUCUUCUUCUCCUGUUAGAUCCCCACCUGAUGCCUCCCCAAAAGGCAUCCAUCAGGCGAUCUACGGCCUCCAUGGCCAGAUCUCAGCGAGAUCCGCAAGCUCUGGCCUCAUCUCCAGUUGCUCAGGCUCCUCCUCCUCCAGUAACGACAGUCGGCAUGGAGCAGUUCGUCCUACUGGUUCAGUAGGUCAAGGGCCUCACCGAAGCGGUGCAGGCC